UGGGUCUGAUUCCUGGAUACAUUAUUUACCUGCUGACGUGUUUUAUUGUCUCUGAAGUCACACAGACAGGUGAGAGGAGCAGCUAUGAGAUUAAAUACAGCAGUGAGAGGAUUUGUUGUCGUCGUUCUCUCUGGGUCAGAUAGAAAAAGGCUUCCUGCCACAGAGAGCAUCUCCUGGAUGACUAAGACGUAAAGAAUAUCAGACACGCUGUCACUGCUGGUAAAACUGCAGGUUUGCUGUCUUGAAGUUUUAUCCACUUGCAUCUGGUUAACCAUGUAUGCAAAUAAGGAGGAAGAUGAGAGGGUGUCAUUUUUUAUUUUUUGUCAUUUUUUCGAUGAGUCGACUUCUGCUUUACAGAAAGGACUGUCAGUUAUCUACUUGCAUUUUAACGGCUCACACAGAGCAAUGAGAGGAGCAGCUAUGAGUGUAAUAACAGCAGUCAGUGGAUUUGUUCUCCUCACUGUGACAGGUUGGUCUGCUUCGUUCUGGGUCAGUAUGGCUGGGGAGUGACUUACACUUCUACUCAGAUCUGUGCUGUAAAAGGAUCCACAGUGGAGAUACGCUGCACCUACACAUACCCAUCUAGACAAUAUAAUCC